rnacentral:lncRNA from 1 species
GGCAAGUAUGUCUAUUACUAGAUUUGAACAAACCAUUAAUCAAAAAUAUUAACAUCCUAGCAUCGUUUGCUCGCUUGUUUGCAGAUUAAACUUUCAUUGAUAUUUUAUCUAAAUGUAAUGACCUUACCUCGUUGAGCCUGGAUGUAAGAAAGAAGCACUUAUGAAAUGGUUUCUGAAUGAUUUCGACAAUGUUUUUGACAUUUGCGUGUGAAUGACUGUUCUCCAGCUGACCCGUUUGGAGGAGAUCCGUUCCAGCAGAGCGACCCGUUCAAAGACCCCUUCGCUAAUUCUGAUCCCUUUGGUCAGAGUUCCUCAAGUCAGUUCAAGGCCAGUCCCUUCAGCAGAAAAAUCAGCCAGGCAUCGAUGGGUCCCAAACCUAAAGACUCAGACCCAUUUGCUGCGUCAGACCCAUUCGGUAGCAACUCUUUUGGAGGGAAAGGUGGUUUCGCUGAUUUCUCUCAAUUGUCAAAGAGCUCGAGCUCAGAGCCUCAGAGCCGAAAGCCAACGUACCCGCUGCCUCCUCCCAAAAAACCCGGACCACAGAGACCAGUGCCGCCUCCUUACGUUCGGAAGUGAGACGGAGCAGCUGGAGUGGGCCAAACGCGAGAGCCAGAGAGAGGAGGCGGAGCGAGUCCGGAGGCUCCGCCUACAGGAACAACUGGACCUGGAACUGGCUCUGGCUCUCAGUCGAGCUGAAAUGCCCAGAACAUGAAGCUGCUACGUUUUGGAUUCAAUCCUUCAACUUUCAGAUGAAGCUUUUGCUCCAAUCAUACGCUCUUCCUGAAGAUCUCUCAGGUUUGCUGUAGCGAUCACUGAACCAAUGAAGUACAACAAAACCAAAGGCCAUAGUUACAGAUCCACUUGACACAUUUGCUCAUGAACUGCACAAAAUGCUAAACCACUGAAUUAUGCUUUAUAAAGAUUAUAUACAGCUUCACCAAAUACUGUAGGACCAGUCAGUCUUAAGUCAAUUAUUGAUGCACAGAAGUAUAUAAGAAAUAUCAACCUCUAUCUGCAGCCAAUGUCGGUUUUGCAAAGCAGAUUCGACCCCAAGUGCUUCAUAUUUAAGUGUCUUUAGGACUUUUGACUAUGAUCAAAUUCAUCCAAGUCUUAACCAGACGUUUGGUUUAAUAAGAGGGAUGAAUUAUUAAAUGCAUGACAUUUAGUUGCCGUCGGUCCACUAUAUGAUCAUAUAUGAUGUCUGUAUUUACAUAUACACCUGCAUAAUCAAUGCAUUCCCAAAUCUCAUAUGGUUGAAGAUUAUGAGUUUUAUUAGAUGCAUGAAGAUCAAAUGAAGCAUAUUCUUUAUUCUUGAAGGAACCUGUUUUUAGUUGUGUUUGGCACUGUUGAGAGUGAGAUGAUGUGAGCUGUAUUUCUUGUGUUUAACCCUUUAAAGCUUGAUCAGAUCCUCUAGAUGACACCGGAUCACACAAACCAGCACCCCUGAAGGAGCUCUGCCCACUUUCAUAUGGUUUUAACCCUUUUCUAGCCUUUUCUUAAAACACAUUUUGCCUUGAAGUGAAGCCUUAUACUGUAUAUUGAGCUUGUUCUUAUUAUGUAUUCAUAUAUGUAUUGUAUCUGUGAUACUUUACCAUAAAAUUUGCAGGUUGUGGGUUGUUUAUAUGCUAGAGAAGGUCAUUCUGGUGUUUAUAUGGGUUUGAUUUUCUCUUUUAGCAUUUUGAAGAUUCUGUUGACCUUCAAUAUUUUUAUGCGUUUUGGUUCUUUUGUGGAAAAAGGUUCAAAAUGAUUUUAGUGUGCUGCUUUUCAAUGUUUUAAUAAAUGUCAAACAUAUUUAUCG